GACGAACGCUCGCGGCGUGCCUAAUACCUGCAAGUCGAGCGAGCUUGCAAAGAUGAAUAUGGUGCCUGCACCAAAUGAAACGGGAUACAAGCGAGCGGCGGACGGGUGAGUAACACGUGGGUAACCUGCCCAAGAGACUGGGAUAACACCUGGAAACAGAUGCUAAUACCGGAUAACAACACUAGACGCACGUGUAGAGUUUAAAAGAUGUUUUUGAAAUCACUCUCGGAUGGACAUGCGGUGCAUUAGGUAGUUGGUAAGGUAACGGCUUACCAAGGCAAUGAUGCAUAGCCGAGUUGAGAGACUGAUCAGCCACAUUGGGACUGAGACACGGCCCAAACUCCUACGGGAGGCAGCAGUAGGGAAUCUUCCACAAUGGACGCAAGUGCUGAUGGAGCAACGCCGCGUGAGUGAAGAAGGGUUUCGGCUCGUAAAGCUCUGUGGUAAUUAAGAA
rnacentral:rRNA from 1 species